CCUACGGGUGGCAGCAGUGGGGAAUAUUGCACAAUGGGGGAAACCCUGAUGCAGCGACGCCGCGUGAGUGAAGAAGUAUUUCGGUAUGUAAAGCUCUAUCAGCAGGGAAGAAAAUAGCGGUACCUGGUUUAAGAGGCCCGGCCAACUACGGUCCAGCCACCGCCGUUAGACGUAGGGGGCCAGCGUUAUCCGGAUUUACUGGGUGUAAAGGGGGCGUAGACGGCAGGACAAGUCUGGAGUGAAAUGCCGGGGCUUAACCCCGGAACUGCUUUGGAAACUGGGCAGCUAGAGUGCAGGAGAGGUAAGCGGAAUUCCUAGUGUAGCGGUGAAAUGCGUAGAUAUUAGGAGGAACACCAGUGGCGAAGGCGGCUUACUGGACUGUAACUGACGUUGAGGCUCGAAAGCGUGGGGAGCAAACAGGAUUAGAUACCCCUGUAGUC
rnacentral:rRNA from 1 species